CCCAAGUGUUUAAUUUUGCUAAAAACUAAAAACCUUGGGCUGACUUUACAACAAUUUAAAAAGUAAAUCGUAAACUCCACAAGAAACGUACUUCAUGAUUUACGUUCAUCAUCGUGAUAAACAAUUUAACCAUCGUGGCUGAACACUUCAAACCAUGUGUUACAAAAGUCAAUAAUGUCGAAAAAAGUUUGGCAAUAUAGGGAGAAAGAAAAUAAAAGAGAAUUGUUGCAUAUGAAAGAAGAUUUAAUUAAACCUUUUUAACUUUUUAAUUUGUCAUUAAAUGAAAAACGGAUGUCAAGGAUUGUUAACGUUCGAACACUUACACUGUUUGAAUCGAUAGUUUAUGGAAACUAAUAAAUGAGAAUAGCUAAAAAAUUCACAACACGAACGUCAGUGGACAAAUUACGAGCUACUUCGCCAAAUUUUGACAUGUUCGUGGCAUAAACGAUGGUAAGAGAAGGAACACCUUUGUUUCAAAAAGUGACCUAAUGAAAGAUAUCAGUAAUUUGUGCACCAUGGUCCUCUACAAUUGGAAGAUAUGAGCUUUUAAAAUUUUAAAAUGGUGAAGCUAAUUUACACUUUGUUCACUUUUUAUAAAUCUGAAACGUGAAAAUUGUCUUUUCUUGCGGACGUUUUAUGGUACUUUUAAAUACAGUAAAGAAAAUGUGAGCAUAUAUAUGUAGCCAUGAGAGUGAAUGAAAAGAAUGUUAUUUCAUUGCAAAAUGUUGGGGCCAUUGGAGAUCGUCGAGGGAAGUUUGGUUCUUGCAUCGAUACUCGAAGCGGCUUCUUGAUCCAAACAAACUUAUGACAUUUGAUUGCCUUUGUGUAGGCUGUAAUAUAUAUAAAUUAUACAACAACAUGCCAUGAAAAUAUAAAACAAUUGCCAACUGUGGAUGAUUGUAGAAUAAAGGUGGUUACGUAAUUUCAACUUCUUUCUUUUUUAAGAUUUCACAUUUGUAAUACCACUGUAUUUUAUUUUUCAUAUUUUGAACAGUUUUAUUUAGUGUUUACUUCAUAUUGUUGUGUACAUAGCUACGUGUAAUGAAUAGAUAUCUCUCAGAACAUCUCGUAAAUAGAAACUGUAAAUAAUAUGAUUGUAGUCUUGAGGGUGUCCGCUUACGAGACGUUCAUUAAGAUAUGUUUUAAAAAUUGUUUUUCUGCAAAUUUGUUGCAAUAUAUGUGUGUUGAUUUAUUA